rnacentral:rRNA from 1 species
GACGAACGCUGGCGGCGUGCUUAACACAUGCAAGUCGAACGGAAAGGCCCUGCUUUUGUGGGGUGCUCGAGUGGCGAACGGGUGAGUAACACGUGAGUAACCUGCCCUUGACUUUGGGAUAACUUCAGGAAACUGGGGCUAAUACCGGAUAGGAGCUCCUGCUGCAUGGUGGGGGUUGGAAAGUUUCGGCGGAUGGGCAUGGACUCGCGGCUUAUCAGCUUGUUGGUGGGGUAGUGGCUUACCAAGGCUUUGACGGGUAGCCGGCCUGAGAGGGUGACCGGCCACAUUGGGACUGAGAUACGGCCCAGACUCCUACGGGAGGCAGCAGUGGGGAAUAUUGCACAAUGGGCGGAAGCCUGAUGCAGCAACGCCGCGUGCGGGAUGACGGCCUUCGGGUUGUAAACCGCUUUCGCCUGUGACGAAGCGUGAGUGACGGUAAUGGGUAAAGAAGCACCGGCUAACUACGUG